GGUUAAGCGACUAAGCGUACACGGUGGAUGCCCUGGCAGUCAGAGGCGAUGAAGGGCGUGCUAAUCUGCGAUAAGCGCCGGUAAGGUGAUAUGAACCGUUAUAACCGGCGAUACCCGAAUGGGGAAACCCAGUGUGACUCGUCACACUAUCAUUAACUGAAUCCAUAGGUUAAUGAGGCGAACCGGGGGAACUGAAACAUCUAAGUACCCCGAGGAAAAGAAAUCAACCGAGAUUCCCCCAGUAGCGGCGAGCGAACGGGGAGGAGCCCAGAGCCUGAAUCAGCAUGUGUGUUAGUGGAAGCGUCUGGAAAGGCGCGCGAUACAGGGUGACAGCCCCGUACACAAAAGCGCAUGUGCUGUGAGCUCGAUGAGUAGGGCGGGACACGUGGUAUCCUGUCUGAAUAUGGGGGGACCAUCCUCCAAGGCUAAAUACUCCUGACUGACCGAUAGUGAACCAGUACCGUGAGGGAAAGGCGAAAAGAACCCCGGCGAGGGGAGUGAAAAAGAACCUGAAACCGUGUACGUACAAGCAGUGGGAGCACAGGUUUACCUGUGUGACUGCGUACCUUUUGUAUAAUGGGUCAGCGACUUAUAUUCUGUAGCAAGGUUAACCGUAUAGGGGAGCCGCAGGGAAACCGAGUCUUAACCGGGCGUUAAGUUGCAGGGUAUAGACCCGAAACCCGGUGAUCUAGCCAUGGGCAGGUUGAAGGUUGGGUAACACUAACUGGAGGACCGAACCGACUAAUGUUGAAAAAUUAGCGGAUGACCUGUGGCUGGGGGUGAAAGGCCAAUCAAACCGGGAGAUAGCUGGUUCUCCCCGAAAGCUAUUUAGGUAGCGCCUCGUGAAUUCAUCUCCGGGGGUAGAGCACUGUUUCGGCUAGGGGGCCAUCCCGGCUUACCAACCCGAUGCAAACUGCGAAUACCGGAGAAUGUUAUCACGGGAGACACACGGCGGGUGCUAACGUCCGUCGUGAAGAGGGAAACAACCCAGACCGCCAGCUAAGGUCCCAAAGUCAUGGUUAAGUGGGAAACGAUGUGGGAAGGCCCAGACAGCCAGGAUGUUGGCUUAGAAGCAGCCAUCAUUUAAAGAAAGCGUAAUAGCUCACUGGUCGAGUCGGCCUGCGCGGAAGAUGUAACGGGGCUAAACCAUGCACCGAAGCUGCGGCAGCGACGCUGAUGCGUUGUUGGGUAGGGGAGCGUUCUGUAAGCCUGUGAAGGUGGCCUGUGAGGGUUGCUGGAGGUAUCAGAAGUGCGAAUGCUGACAUAAGUAACGAUAAAGCGGGUGAAAAGCCCGCUCGCCGGAAGACCAAGGGUUCCUGUCCAACGUUAAUCGGGGCAGGGUGAGUCGACCCCUAAGGCGAGGCCGAAAGGCGUAGUCGAUGGGAAACGGGUUAAUAUUCCCGUACUUGGUGUUACUGCGAAGGGGGGACGGAGAAGGCUAUGUUGGCCGGGCGACGGUUGUCCCGGUUUAAGCGUGUAGGUGUGUGUUCCAGGUAAAUCCGGUUCACUUUAACACUGAGGCGUGAUGACGAGGCACUACGGUGCUGAAGCAACAAAUGCCCUGCUUCCAGGAAAAGCCUCUAAGCAUCAGGUAACAUCAAAUCGUACCCCAAACCGACACAGGUGGUCAGGUAGAGAAUACCAAGGCGCUUGAGAGAACUCGGGUGAAGGAACUAGGCAAAAUGGUGCCGUAACUUCGGGAGAAGGCACGCUGACACGUAGGUGAAGUGAUUUACUCACGGAGCUGAAGUCAGUCGAAGAUACCAGCUGGCUGCAACUGUUUAUUAAAAACACAGCACUGUGCAAACACGAAAGUGGACGUAUACGGUGUGACGCCUGCCCGGUGCCGGAAGGUUAAUUGAUGGGGUCAGCGCAAGCGAAGCUCCUGAUCGAAGCCCCGGUAAACGGCGGCCGUAACUAUAACGGUCCUAAGGUAGCGAAAUUCCUUGUCGGGUAAGUUCCGACCUGCACGAAUGGCGUAAUGAUGGCCAGGCUGUCUCCACCCGAGACUCAGUGAAAUUGAACUCGCUGUGAAGAUGCAGUGUACCCGCGGCAAGACGGAAAGACCCCGUGAACCUUUACUAUAGCUUGACACUGAACAUUGAGCCUUGAUGUGUAGGAUAGGUGGGAGGCUUUGAAGUGUGGACGCCAGUCUGCAUGGAGCCGACCUUGAAAUACCACCCUUUAAUGUUUGAUGUUCUAACGUGGACCCGUAAUCCGGGUUGCGGACAGUGUCUGGUGGGUAGUUUGACUGGGGCGGUCUCCUCCUAAAGAGUAACGGAGGAGCACGAAGGUUGGCUAAUCCUGGUCGGACAUCAGGAGGUUAGUGCAAUGGCAUAAGCCAGCUUGACUGCGAGCGUGACGGCGCGAGCAGGUGCGAAAGCAGGUCAUAGUGAUCCGGUGGUUCUGAAUGGAAGGGCCAUCGCUCAACGGAUAAAAGGUACUCCGGGGAUAACAGGCUGAUACCGCCCAAGAGUUCAUAUCGACGGCGGUGUUUGGCACCUCGAUGUCGGCUCAUCACAUCCUGGGGCUGAAGUAGGUCCCAAGGGUAUGGCUGUUCGCCAUUUAAAGUGGUACGCGAGCUGGGUUUAGAACGUCGUGAGACAGUUCGGUCCCUAUCUGCCGUGGGCGCUGGAGAACUGAGGGGGGCUGCUCCUAGUACGAGAGGACCGGAGUGGACGCAUCACUGGUGUUCGGGUUGUCAUGCCAAUGGCACUGCCCGGUAGCUAAAUGCGGAAGAGAUAAGUGCUGAAAGCAUCUAAGCACGAAACUUGCCCCGAGAUGAGUUCUCCCUGAGACUUAAAGUCUCCUGAAGGAACGUUGAAGACGACGACGUUGAUAGGCCGGGUGUGUAAGCGCAGCGAUGCGUUGAGCUAACCGGUACUAAUGAACCGUGAGGCUUAACCUU
rnacentral:rRNA from 2 species